rnacentral:rRNA from 1 species
UACCCUGGUAGUCCACGCCGUAAACGAUGUCUACUAGCCGUUGGGGAACUUGAUUCUUUAGUGGCGCAGCUAACGCACUAAGUAGACCGCCUGGGGAGUACGGCCGCAAGGUUAAAACUCAAAUGAAUUGACGGGGGCCCGCACAAGCGGUGGAUUAUGUGGAUUAAUUCGAUGCAACGCGAAAAACCUUACCUGGCCUUGACAUGUACGGAACUUUCUAGAGAUAGAUUGGUGCCUUCGGGAACCGUAACACAGGUGCUGCAUGGCUGUCGUCAGCUCGUGUCGUGAGAUGUUGGGUUAAGUCCCGCAACGAGCGCAACCCUUGCCAAUAAUUGCCAUCAUUUAGUUGGGCACUUUAUUGGGACUGCCGGUGACAAACCGGAGGAAGGUGGGGAUGACGUCAAGUCCUCAUGGCCCUUAUGGCCAGGGCUUCACACGUAAUACAAUGGUCGGUACAGAGGGUCGCCAACCCGCGAGGGGGAGCAAAUCCCAGAAAGCCGAUCGUAGUCCGGAUUGUUCUCUGCAACUCGAGAGCAUGAAGUCGGAAUCGCUAGUAAUCGCGGAUCAGAAUGUCGCGGUGAAUACGUUCCCGGGCCUUGUACACACCGCCCGUCACACCAUGGGAGUGGGUUUUACCAGAAGUAGGUAGUCUAACCUUCGGGGGGACGCUUACCACGGUAGUAUUCAUGACUGGGGUGAAGUCGUAACAAGGUAGCCGUAUCU